rnacentral:lncRNA from 1 species
GACGGAAGUCGUGAAAUCCCUAAGCCAUCCCGGUUUACGGCUUGCUCUUCUCGGUCCGCGACUUGUCUCCGGUCCAGGUUCGUUCAACGGUUGCGGAUCGUCAUCUUCCUCGUCGUACCCAAUUUUAGAGAUUAACGUUUCCCUUAAUGCCUUGGCAUCACUGCUCACCGCCUGUAGGUCAAUUUCUCCAUCCGGCCACGUAAUAUCGCCAUCCCCUUGAGGCUCGACAUCGUCCCUGAUGUUGAUUGAAGGAAAGGAUAUCUUCAAGUCGUCGUUGAACUCCCAAGAAGCAUCUUCCGGCACUGCACCGUUCCACACGAUGAGUGACUGAUUUCUUUGUUCUCCCCUUGUAAUAUUUUUCUCCUUUAAUAUAGCAGUUGGGUAAAUUAGUGGCUUGUUUUCUACUGCAAUAAUUGGCUGAAUUUGAUUGCUGUUGACAGGAGCUUGACCAAAUAAUUUUUUUAAUUUGGAAACAUGAAAGGUAGGAUGGAUUUUACUGUCCUCUGUAAUUGCAAUCUGUAAGCGACCUCAUUCACCUUCCUUUCAAUUUUAUAAGGCCCAAAAUAACGUUUACAGAAUUUGUGAUGCAUUCGAUUUGCCACCGAUUGUUGUCGAUAUGGUUUUAAUUGAACAAGUACCCAGUCCCCCACUUUGAAUUCUAUUUCUGUCCUCUUUUUAUCUGCUUGAAUUUUCAUUCUUGUUUGCGCUAACAGUAGGUUUUUCUUGAUUGAGGCUAGUGUGUCCUCUCUAAUCUGUAAUUCUUCAUCUACUGCUUGUAUGGUGGACUGACCUUCACUAUAAUGAGGAAUUUCAGUUGCCUCUUUACCAUAUAGGACCUUAAAUGGUGUAGCUCCCAAUGAUGAGUGAUAUCCGGAAUUGUACCACAAUUCAGCCCAAGGCAACAAUUUUAACCAUUUAAUAGGAUUCUCAUGACAAUAGGAUCUCAAGUACAUCUCCAACGUUAUGUUUACUACCUCAGUUUGACCAUUUGAUUGUGGAUGGUAUGCUGAUGAAAAAUUCAAUUUAGUGCCGCUGAGAUGGUUCAGCUCUUUCCAGAAUUUAGAAGUAAAAAUUCUGUCUCUAUCUGACACAAUAGAACUUGGAAUGCCGUGCAACUUGACUAUAUCCUUGACAAACGUUACCGCUACCAUGGAAGUAUUAAAAUUUGAUGGAAGAGGACUGAAAUGAGCGUAUUUAGAUAAUCUAUCUACUACCACUAUAACCACAGAUUUACCUUUGACUUUGGGAAGGUCAUUGAUGAAAUCCAUACUUAUAUCUUGCCAAACACUAGAAGGAAUUGGAAAAGACAUUAACAGUCCAGCAACUUUAGAAUUCAUCGGUUUAAUUUGUUGGCAGAUGAUACAUUCUCUGACAUAGAUUUUGAUGUCAACUCCCAUAUUUGGCCAAAAGAAGUAUUUUGCUACUCUUUUCCAUGUCUUGUGAACUCCAGAAUGGCCUCCUAACUGAGAGUCAUGAAAUUCAUACAUUAUUUUCUUAAUAAGUGGUGAGUGUGAGGAUAUGUAAUAUCUAUCCUUGAAAAGUAAUAUCCCAUUCCUGACCAUGAAUCCUUCUGCUCCUUUGUCCUUAUCAGCAUAAUUAGUCAUUAAUUUCUGAAUGUCCAGAUUCAUUUUGUUUUCUUCUUUGAGUUCCUCCAACAAUGAAUAUAUAGGUUUAGAGAUUGCUAGUAGUGAUCCCGAUGUUCCCACUGAAUUUGAAGAAAAUAAUACUUCUUCCUCACUUUCAAACCUUCUAGAAAGGGCAUCUGCUACUGUGUUUUCUUUCCCCGGCUUGUAUACAAUAGUAAAAUCGAAACCCAAUAAUUUGCAGAGAAAGACUUGUUGUUCUGGGGUUUGAAUAGUCUGUGUUAGUAGGUUUUUAAGACUUUUGUGAUCAGUUUUAAUCACAAAAUGGGAUCCCGAUAAAUAAUGUCGCCAUUUACUCACUGCUUGAGUAAUAGCAUACAUUUCCUUUACAUAUAUAGAUGCAGCCAUGAUCCUACCAGAUAGUUUACAACUGAAGUAACUUAUAGGGUGUGAUUUCUGACUUAGGACAGCUCCAACCCCAUUUCUACAAGCAUCUGUUUCUACUGUGAAUUCAGUGUCGAAGUCUGGAAAUAUCAGCACAGGUGCAGAAACCAUUGCAGAUUUUAAUUUUUCAAAACUUGAAGUUCAUCAUUCCAGUGGAAGUUAUCUUUCUUUAAAAGGUCUGUCAUAGGAGCAGCUAUAGAUGCAUAACCUUUGACAAAUCUUCUAUAAUACCCGGUUAAUCCCAAAAAGCCUCUUAGCAAUUUCAGUGUCUUAGGGAUAGGCCAUUCAACCAUUGCCUUAACUUUUUCCGGGUCUGGAUGAACACCGUCUACUGCAAUUAUGUGGUCCAGAAAAGUCAUGGAGUCCUUCCCAAAAGAACAUUUAGAGAGUUUAGCAAUAAGUUUGUUUGACCUGAGCAACUCAAAUACCUUUCUUAGGUGUGCAAUGUGGUCUUCUAUUGAAGCACUAUAUACCAAUAUAUCAUCAAAAAAUACCAUCACAAACUUUCUCAAAUAGUUAGAGAAAACAGAAUUCAUAAUUGAUUGGAAUGUUGCUGGUGCGUUGGUCAACCCAAAAGGCAUUACCAAGAAUUCAAAAUGCCCUUGAUGUGUUCUAAAUGCUGUUUUUUCUUUGUCAUUGGGGUUCACUCUGAUUUGAUGAAGUCCAGAUCGCAGAUCUAGCUUUGAAUAAAUUGCAGAACCCUUCAACUCUCCUAAUAACUCAUCUACAGUAGGUAUUGAGUACUUGUCUUUAAUGGUCAAUGCAUUUAAGGCUCUGUAGUCGACGCAUAGCCUAUAGUCACCAUCCUUUUUCUUAAUUAGUAGAACAGGGGAAGAGUAUGGGCUUGAGCUAGAUUUUAUGAUCCCUUGUGACAACAUUUCAGAAAUUAGUUUUUCAAUUUCAGAUUUUUGAAAUUGGGGAUAUCUAUAAGGCCUAACACUGAUUGGUUUGGCAUCUGGUUCUAAAUGUAUUGAGUGAUCUUUUUCUCUUUGAGGUGGUAAUCCAUAAGGAUCCUCAAAUAAAUCGCAGUAUUCCUGGAUCACAUCUGUAAUAUCUGGAAUUGAGGUGUCCAGUACAGCAUGGGUUUCACAAUUAUCAAUUUUAUCCAGAUAACAUAAAUAUGCUUCUUUGGUAGAGGCCAUUAGACACUUUAGCUGACCAGUAGUCACAGGCUCUUCAGAUACCCAAGGCACGCCAAUCCAUAUAAUUUUCUUCCCGGAUAAGUUGAAUUCCAUGCUAGCCUUGUCAAAAUCAAAAGUGACAGGUCCAAAGGUUUUCAAAGCCUGUACUCCUACUACCAUGUUACAACCAGACAUAUGGAUUAGAAAAAUAUCCAUGAUAAUGGUGACAUCUUGGAUUUUUAUUUCCACAUCUUUGCACAUUUUGUUGCAAGUCGAUUUCUCUCCACUACCAGUAGACACCUGGAACGGCACAAUCAUUUGAAUGGUCAAUUUUAGAGCCACUGCCACAUCCACUUGCAUAAAAUUAUGACUAGACCCAGAAUCAAUCAAUACACUAACAUAUUGGCAUUUAAUAAACCCCAUAACUCUGAUAGUACUCGAACUGAUGUUACCUUCAAAGGCAAUCCUGUCUUUCACUCCUGUCUCUUGAUACAGUAUCCACCACCAUUUCUUCAUUAUAUGCUUCUAUUUCAUGUUGUUCCUCAAGUUCCACCAAUUCAGCCUCAUCUGCAGACAAUCUGAAUAAUUUCCCUUUUCUGCCCACACAGACGCUGUUAUGAUUUGCACUAAAUUUCUCAUCACAGUUGAAGCAGUGGCCUUUGCUUCUUCUUUCAGCCCUCUAUGCAGGUGACAAUCUUUUUGUAGUCUGUACUACAUCAGAUAUAGUCUUUUGUGAAGCUGGUACCAUUGGAUUGUUACUGACAUCCACCUUGUUUUGUUGGUCGGCAGAAUUUGAGAUGAAUCUGGUUUGUUUGGGAAAAUAGAUUUUGUAAGCAGAUCUGCCCCCUUUUUUGGAUUCUAUCAUAAGAGAUAAAUCAAAAGCUUCAUGAAUAUCCGUAAGUUUCCUUAUCAUCACUUCAGAUUGUAAUUCUUCUUUCAAUCCUGAGAUAUACAUUUCUAGAAUGAAAUGUUCAGGUAAACCAAGCAUUCUAGUGCAUAAUUCCUCAAAUUGCCCUUGGUAUUCAGCCAUAGAUCCUUCUUGUGUCAAUUUGCUCAGUUUGCUCCCGGGUAGUUGGUAGUGUAGAGAUGUGAAUUUCUUUAUCACUGCAUUCACAAAAUUAGGCCAAGUGGACAGCAUGUUGCUCGCCUCGAGCCAAGCAAACCACUUCCUUGCCAAACCAUCCAUAUGAAACGAUACUAUGAGUAAUUUCUGAUCUUCAGGUACUUUAUUAAAUAUGAAAUACCUUCUUACUGCAUAUAGCCAAUGCUCAACAUCUGUGCCAUCAAAUCUAGGCAUAUUAACUCUAAUGUGCUUGGCUGGUGUAUAAGUUAGAUCCUCCAUAAUAGAAUUAGCAUAAACAGGAUUAUCUAAAUUUACCACCGAUUGACAAUAGGAUUGAAGUGACUUUAUAAUUUCUUGAGAUUCACUGCCAUGCAUGCUUGUAUUAGUUGGUUUGUCAGAACUAACCUUGGCUGUCAUUUCUGAAAUUUUUGCACUCAAAUUUGUCAUUUGCUUGCUUAUUUCCAGAAAAUUAUUAUUGACAGAAGACCUGAGUUCACCUAUGUCUUUGACUUGACUCAUUUGCAGGUUCUGUAGACGGAUAAAGUCUGGAUGGGAUUUUAAUUCUGAUGUGGUUGCCAUCUGAAGGAAAGAGUUCACUUAAGAAAGCACCAAAUGUUACAAGGUGAAAAAUUAAUUUAAUCAGAGUGAUUCAUCUUACUAACGUGGUUGCCUCAGAUCCGUGUUAGUGACGGAUAUCCGAGACAGAGAGCAACGGGGAUACACCCCUGAAAUUGAGGCUUAGCCUCCCCUCUUCACAAUUAAGUUCAGAGAAAGUAGUGCUCAAUAUGGCAAGUGGUACAGGCGCCUGCAGAUCGUCCCACAGCUCGUAGAUCGCAUCUAUUUCAGCAAUUCCGAUAACCGACGCAAGAUUUGGGGCAUAGGAUGAUGAUGAAACGUACUCGGCGUUUUGGCCGGAGGUGAUCAGUAGAGGUGUUGGAUGGAAGGUGACAAUAUUGGAGUUUAGGAAUUUGAUGCGUUUUCAUUCAUGUAAAUAAAAUUAUAUAUGUUUGGUACAAAUUGUAAAACUUAAAUUAUUUGGGGUCUCUUAUGCAAUAAUUUAAAUAAAAGAGAAUGCAAUAAGCCAACAACUUUAAUAAUUUUUUCACGACGGAUUUCAUUCAGUCGUGAAAUCCUUAAGCCAUCCCGGUUUACGGCUUGCUCUUCUCGGUCCGCGACUUGUCUCCGGUCCAG